rnacentral:rRNA from 1 species
UACGUAGGGCGCGAGCGUUGUCCGGAAUUAUUGGGCGUAAAGAGCUCGUAGGCGGUCCGGUUGCGUCUGCUGAUCGGAAAUCCCGGGGCUUAACCCCGGGCGUGCAGUGGAUACGGGCCGGCUGGAGGCAGGCAGGGGAGAAUGGGAAUUCCCGGUGUAGCGGUGAAAUGCGCAGAUAUCGGGAGGAACACCGGUGGCGAAGGCGAUUCUCUGGGCCUGUACUGACGCUGAGGAGCGAAAGCGUGGGGGAGCGAACGAGGA